ACUGCAGCAGUGAGUUGUCCAGUGAUGGGAGCGGGGCUGGUGUGCAGGGCACUGGCGAUGGCAGAGAGCAGUGUUUUAUCUGAACACGCAGGCCCAACACCUAAGCAGAGGACAACAGGGAGGAUACCUGAAUGUCCUGGGACCAUGGAGUCCACAUGGAGGUGGAAGUUUUUCCCCUUGUCUACCUAUUCUUGAGUUAAUAAGCAGAUCCUGAUGACUUCUGGCUGUACCUACCGACGCAGAAUCACUACAUGUUAAAAUAUUGCUGCAACUAAUCUGUUCAAUCCAUCUAAUGCCAUCAACAUCUUCCGGUUACUCGAAAAAUAAAAGUCCCUAACAACAAUAAAAUAUCGAUAAAACCGAAUAGCAGCUUAUAGCAUAGUUACCCAAUGAGGAGGACCUGUCUGUCAAAAUGAAUUUGUUAUACCUUUAUUCAUUCAGUUUAGUUCCUAAAUAUAUGCGUGUUUAUUCAAACUACCACAUACUAAUUUACACACAGCAAACCUGAAGCCAAGCAGAACUUCAGCACAGGAGCACAGAUUUGUUUCAAGGGCUCUACAAAAUAUAAUGAAGCUGUAACGCGUGUUCAGCUGAGUGCAGUGUACUUCACGGGCAGUGGGAAGUGACAGCGCCGCUCACUUCUGGCCCAUAGCGAACUAAUCAAGUUAUUUCUGCUGGCCAGUCGAUGAAGUCAUCGCUACCUGCUUGGUCUGUCCCAGUUGGGUAAACUCAACUUCACAAAUAAAAGACUGAAUAGAUCAACCACCACCUGGUUCACUGCAGAUAGGAACAUGCAAUUAUGUAUUUUUGUAUUUAUGGGUUUAUAUAAAAAAAAAGACAGUGGACAAACUUGGGUUUUGUUAUUAAAAAUGGCACAUUUAUUGCUACAUUACUGUUAUAUACACAACAGUUCUCGAUAUCUACUUUAUAUAUAAAAAAUAGGAAACUGGAGGCACUUUGAGGACAUAGCCUACAUAGAUGUUGUCCCCAAACAUGAGUGAAGACAGAGAGAGAUCUAUAGCAGGUCAUCUGCUGUGGAGGACA